rnacentral:rRNA from 1 species
GAUGAACGCUGGCGGCGUGCCUAAUACAUGCAAGUCGAACGAAACUUCUUUAUCACCGAGUGCUUGCACUCACCGAUAAAGAGUUGAGUGGCGAACGGGUGAGUAACACGUGGGCAACCUGCCCAAAAGAGGGGGAUAACACUUGGAAACAGGUGCUAAUACCGCAUAACCAUAGUUACCGCAUGGUAACUAUGUAAAAGGUGGCUAUACUACCGCUUUUGGAUGGGCCCGCGGCGCAUUAGCUAGUUGGUAGGGUAAAGGCUUACCAAGGCAAUGAUGCGUAGCCGAAUUGAGAGGUUGAUCGGCCACAUUGGGACUGAGACACGGCCCAAACUCCUACGGGAGGCAGCAGUAGGGAAUCUUCCACAAUGGGCGAAAGCCUGAUGGAGCAACGCCGCGUGGGUGAAGAAGGUCUGCGGAUCGUAAAACCCUGUUGUUAGAGAAGAAAGUGCGUGAGAGUAACUGUUCACGUUUCGACGGUAUCUAACCAGAAAGCCACUGCUAACUACGU